CAGCGAAAGGUGCUUGCACCUUUCAAGUGAGUGGCGAACGGGUGAGUAACACGUGGACAACCUGCCUCAAGGCUGGGGAUAACAUUUGGAAACAGAUGCUAAUACCGAAUAAAACUUAGUGUCGCAUGACAAAAAGUUAAAAGGCGCUUCGGCGUCACCUAGAGAUGGAUCCGCGGUGCAUUAGUUAGUUGGUGGGGUAAAGGCCUACCAAGACAAUGAUGCAUAGCCGAGUUGAGAGACUGAUCGGCCACAUUGGGACUGAGACACGGCCCAAACUCCUACGGGAGGCUGCAGUAGGGAAUCUUCCACAAUGGGCGAAAGCCUGAUGGAGCAACGCCGCGUGUGUGAUGAAGGCUUUCGGGUCGUAAAGCACUGUUGUAUGGGAAGAACAGCUAGAAUAGGAAAUGAUUUUAGUUUGACGGUACCAUACCAGAAAGGGACGGCUAAAUACGUGCCAGCAGCCGCGGUAAUACGUAUGUCCCGAGCGUUAUCCGGAUUUAUUGGGCGUAAAGCGAGCGCAGACGGUUUAUUAAGUCUGAUGUGAAAGCCCGGAGCUCAACUCCGGAAUGGCAUUGGAAACUGGUUAACUUGAGUGCAGUAGAGGUAAGUGGAACUCCAUGUGUAGCGGUGGAAUGCGUAGAUAUAUGGAAGAACACCAGUGGC
rnacentral:rRNA from 1 species